rnacentral:rRNA from 1 species
GAUGAACGCUGGCGGCGUGCCUAAUACAUGCAAGUCGAGCGAACAGACGAUGAUCUUGCUCCUCUCUCGUUAGCGGCGCACGUGUGUGUAACACGUGUAUAACCUACCUAUAUUUCUGGUAUAACUUCGGGAAUCCGGCGCUAAUACCGUAUAAUAUAUUGCACCGCAUGGUUCAUUAGUGAAAUUCGGUUUUGCUGUCUCUUAUCGAUGCUUCCGCGCCGCAUUAUCGAGUUGGUAAGGUAACGGCUUACCAAGGGAACGAUGCGUAGGCGACGUGAGAGGGUGAGCGGCGACACUGGAAGGGAGACACGGACCAGACUACUACGGGAGGGAGCAGUAGGGAAGAUGACGCAAUGGGCGAAAGCAUGACGGAGCAACGCCGCGUGAGAGAUGAAGGUCUUCGGAUCGUAAAACUCUGUUAUUAGGGAAGAACAAAUGUGUAAGUAAAUAUGCACGUAGUGACGGUACCUAAUAAGAAAGCAACGGCUAACUACGUG